UACGGAGGAUGCGAGCGUUAUCCGGAUUUAUUGGGUUUAAAGGGUGCGUAGGCGGGAUGCCAAGUCAGCGGUAAAAAUGCGGUGCUCAACGCCGUCGAGCCGUUGAAACCGGCGUUCUUGAGUGGGCGAGAAGUAUGCGGAAUGCGUGGUGUAGCGGUGAAAUGCAUAGAUAUCACGCAGAACUCCGAUUGCGAAGGCGGCAUACCGGCGCCCUACUGACGCUGAGGCACGAAAGCGUGGGUAUCGAACAGG
rnacentral:rRNA from 1 species